rnacentral:sRNA from 1 species
AAUCAUUUUUUACUUAUUAUUUGUAGAAUAAUUGGAUUGUAUGCCCUAAAUUUAACUAGAGAUUUGAGAUGUACACUAUAA